CUACGGGCGGCAGCAGUGGGGAAUAUUGGACAAUGGGGGAAACCCUGAUCCAGCAAUGCCGCGUGUGUGAAGAAGGCCUGCGGGUUGUAAAGCACUUUCGGUUGGGAGGACUGCUUCUAGCACUAAUAUUGUUGGAAGUUGACGUUACCUUCAGAAGAAGCACCGGCUAACUCCGUGCCAGCAGCCGCGGUAAUACGGAGGGUGCAAGCGUUAAUCGGAAUUACUGGGCGUAAAGCGCGCGUAGGCGGCUAGAUCAGUCGGGUGUGAAAGCCCCGGGCUUAACCUGGGAACUGCAUCCGAUACUGUCUAGCUUGAGUACAGGAGAGGAGAGUGGAAUUCCACAUGUAGCGGUGAAAUGCGUAGAUAUGUGGAGGAACACCAAUGGCAAAGGCAGCUCUCUGGCCUGAUACUGACGCUGAGGUACGAAAGCGUGGGGAGCAAACAGGAUUAGAUACCCGUGUAGUC
rnacentral:rRNA from 1 species